rnacentral:rRNA from 1 species
UACGUAGGGGGCAAGCGUUGUCCGGAAUCAUUGGGCGUAAAGAGCGUGUAGGCGGCCCGAUAAGUCCGCCGUGAAAGUCCAGGGCUCAACCCUGGAAUGCCGGUGGAAACUGUCGGGCUGGAGUCCGGAAGAGGCGAGUGGAAUUCCUGGUGUAGCGGUGAAAUGCGCAGAUAUCUGGAGGAACACCGGUGGCGAAGGCGGCAUCCUGGACCGGCAUUGACGCUGAGGCGCGAAAGCCAGGGGAGCAAACGGG